rnacentral:tRNA from 1 species
GGAAAGUUAGCUCAGUGGUAGAGUGCUUGCCUCACAUGCAUGAGGCCCUGGGUUUGAUUCCUCAGUACCA